AUCCUGCCUCAGCAUCUGGACCCAGAGGAAUUGAAAUCAGGACCUCGAUGAGAUAUGUGCACUGCCCUGUUCACUGCAGCAUCCCUCCCCGCAGCCGCAAUGUGGAGAGAUGAGCCGUCCACGCGCGCCGUGGCUAUAGCAGAAAAGACCCGCUGCCAUUUGCGACAACACGGCUGGGCCUCAAGGGGCACAGAAACAGCUUGAUCAACUGAGAGUGACAAUGGGAAAGACCUACUGAAAGUUUCUAGGAAAAGGAAGAGCCAUGGAAGCCUCUGCUAGAACAGAGGUCGGCACAGGUCUCAUCCAAAGAGCCAGACGGCACAUAUUUUAGUUCUGCAGGAUCUUCGUGGCAGGGAAGCAGCGACUGACAGCAGGUAGAUCGGGGAGGGGGGGCGGUGCCACUGGGGG
rnacentral:lncRNA from 1 species